CACAUGCAAGUCGAGGGGAAACGACAUCGAAAGCUUGCUUUUGAUGGGCGUCGACCGGCGCACGGGUGAGUAACGCGUAUCCAACCUGCCCACCACUUGGGGAUAACCUUGCGAAAGUAAGACUAAUACCCAAUGAUAUCUCUAGAAGACAUCUGAAAGAGAUUAAAGAUUUACCGGUGAUGGAUGGGGAUGCGUCUGAUUAGCUUGUUGGCGGGGUAACGGCCCACCAAGGCAACGAUCAGUAGGGGUUCUGAGAGGAAGGUCCCCCACAUUGGAACUGAGACACGGUCCAAACUCCUACGGGAGGCAGCAGUGAGGAAUAUUGGUCAAUGGACGAGAGUCUGAACCAGCCAAGUAGCGUGCAGGAUGACGGCCCUAUGGGUUGUAAACUGCUUUUAUAAGGGAAUAAAGUGAGUCUCGUGAGACUUUUUGCAUGUACCUUAUGAAUAAGGACCGGCUAAUUCCGUGCCAGCAGCCGCGGUAAUACGGAAGGUCCGGGCGUUAUCCGGAUUUAUUGGGUUUAAAGGGAGCGUAGGCCGGAGAUUAAGCGUGUUGUGAAAUGUAGAUGCUCAACAUCUGCACUGCAGCGCGAACUGGUUUCCUUGAGUACGCACAAAGUGGGCGGAAUUCGUGGUGUAGCGGUGAAAUGCUUAGAUAUCACGAAGAACUCCGAUUGCGAGGGCAGCUCACUGGAGCGCAACUGACGCUGAAGCUCGAAA
rnacentral:rRNA from 1 species